GCUAGCGGCAGGCCUAAUACAUGCAAGUCGAACGGUAACAUUGGUGCUUGCACCAGAUGACGAGUGGCGCACGGGUGCGUAACGCGUAUGCAACCUACCUUUUACUAGAGUAUAGCCCAGAGAAAUUUGGAUUAAUCCUCUAUAACAUCUUUUAAUUUCAUGAUUUUAAGAUUAAAGUUUUAACGGUAAAAGAUGGGCAUGCGUCCUAUUAGUUUGUAGGUGAGGUAACGGCUCACCUAGACUACGAUAGGUAGGGGCCCUGAGAGGGGGAUCCCCCACACUGGUACUGAGACACGGACCAGACUCCUACGGGAGGCAGCAGUAAGGAAUAUUGGACAAUGGACGAAAGUCUGAUCCAGCCAUGCCGCGUGCAGGAUGACAGCCCUACGGGUUGUAAACUGCUUUUAUACAGGAAGAAACACUCCGACGUGUCGGAGCUUGACGGUACUGUAAGAAUAAGGAUCGGCUAACUCCGUGCCAGCAGCCGCGGUAAUACGGAGGAUCCAAGCGUUAUCCGGAAUCAUUGGGUUUAAAGGGUCCGCAGGCUGUUUUUUAAGUCAGAGGUGAAAUCCUACAGCUCAACUGUAGAACUGCCUUUGAUACUGGAAAACUUGAGUUAUUGUGAAGUGGUUAGAAUGUGUGGUGUAGCGGUGAAAUGCAUAGAUAUCACACAGAAUACCGAUUGCGAAGGCAGAUCACUAACAAUAUACUGACGCUCAUGGACGAAAGCGUGGGGAGCGAACAGGAUUAGAUACCCUGGUAGUCCACGCCGUAAACGAUGGAUACUAGCUGUUCGUCUAACAUUGGUUAGAUGAGUGGCUAAGCGAAAGUGAUAAGUAUCCCACC
rnacentral:rRNA from 1 species